CAAUAGCCCCGAUUGAACGACCUGUUUGAGCUCUUUUUGAGAGUUUUAGCGGUGGCAAUGCAGAUGCUGAAACUCUCAAAAAAGCGAGUAGUGAAAGCGGGAAAAGCU
rnacentral:misc_RNA from 1 species